AGAUUCCCUUGAUAGGAAGUCAGAAGUUCAUUUACUGUGGAAGGUAUGUUGUAUUUCAUUAGAAUCUAUACCUGCUUCACUAUGGUUCCCCUUGUGCCAUCUUUCCCUCUGUUUUUCAUUGUACAUCUGUUACAAAGGAGAAACUCGCCUGUGCAUUUUUUUUCGGGAAUACGCAAGGAGCGCUCGCCUGUGCAUUUUGUUUUAUUUCACAAACAUUGAUUUCUCUGGUGCUUGAGUAAUUGCAUCUGACAGGAGGAACUGACGUGGAAUCAGAUGCUUAUCAGACGCUACCAAGGGAGAGAGGUUUGAAGUUUGGCCAUCGUGAUUCUG
rnacentral:lncRNA from 1 species